GGUGAGUAACGCGUGAGUAACCUGCCUUUCAGAGGGGGAGUAACGUUCUGAAAAGAAACGCUAAUACCGCAUGAGACUACAGAGCUGCAUGGCUCAGUGGUCAAAGGAGCAAUCCGCUGAAAGAUGGACUCGCGUCCGAUUAGAUAGUAGGCGGGGUAACGGGCCCACCUAGUCGACGAUCGGUAGCCGGACUGAGAGGUUGAACGGCCACAUUGGGACUGAGACACGGCCCAGACUCCUACGGGAGGCAGCAUG
rnacentral:rRNA from 1 species